rnacentral:rRNA from 1 species
CCAGACUCCUACGGGAGGCAGCAGUGAGGAAUAUUGGUCAAUGGGCGGGAGCCUGAACCAGCCAAGUCGCGUGAGGGAAGACGGUCCUACGGAUUGUAAACCUCUUUUGCCGGGGAGCAACGGGGUCCUUGCGAGGGCCCAAUGAGAGUACCCGGAGAAAAAGCAUCGGCUAACUCCGUGCCAGCAGCCGCGGUAAUACGGAGGAUGCGAGCGUUAUCCGGAUUUAUUGGGUUUAAAGGGUGCGCAGGCGGCGUGUCAAGUCAGCGGUAAAAUGUCGGGGCUCAACUCCGUACUGCCGUUGAAACUGCAUCCCUUGAGUGCGCGAGAAGUAUGCGGAAUGCGUGGUGUAGCGGUGAAAUGCAUAGAUAUCACGAAGAACUCCGAUUGCGAAGGCAGCUCACUGGACUGCAACUGACACUGAGGCUCGAAAGUGUGGGUAUCAAACAGGAUUAGAUACCCCGGUA